AUUGAACGCUGGCGGCAGGCCUAACACAUGCAAGUCGAGCGGUAGAGAGGUGCUUGCAUCUCUUGAGAGCGGCGGACGGGUGAGUAAUGCCUAGGAAUCUGCCUGGUGGUGGGGGAUAACGUUCGGAAACGGACGCUAAUACCGCAUACGUCCUACGGGAGAAAGCGGGGGAGUCUUCGGACCUCGCGCCAUUAGAUGAGCCUAGGUCGGAUUAGCUAGUUGGUGAGGUAAUGGCUCACCAAGGCGACGAUCCGUAACUGGUCUGAGAGGAUGAUCAGUCACACUGGAACUGAGACACGGUCCAGACUCCUACGGGAGGCAGCAGUGGGGAAUAUUGGACAAUGGGCGAAAGCCUGAUCCAGCCAUGCCGCGUGUGUGAAGAAGGUCUUCGGAUUGUAAAGCACUUUAAGUUUGGGAGGAAGGGUAGUAACCUAAUACGUUGCUACUUUGACGUUACCGACAGAAUAAGCACCGGCUAACUUCGUGCCAGCACG
rnacentral:rRNA from 1 species